rnacentral:lncRNA from 1 species
GUCUCCGCGCGCCGGCCGCAGCCUCGCAGCGCUCUCUCCGCGCCCGCGUCGCUGACUGACCGCCCGGCCGGCCGGCCGAGGGAGCAGCCCCCGCCCGGACCCGCAGCCGCCUCCCGACCCCGGUGCGCCCGGGGCUCCGCGCCCCCGUAGCCCCUGCCCGGCCCGGCCCGGCCGCCCCGCCGCCCCCGCGGCCCCGGCCGGAGGAGACAGCCUGGCAGCACUGCUAGCCAGUGUCCCCCGCCUCGGACCCCCAGCCUGCACCGCCAGACUGUGGCUCUGCCCCGGUCUCAUCGGCACUGCGCUCCCUUGUGUCCCUUUGAAGAUACCUUGAUUUCCUGAGACCGACCUUGUCCCUGGAGGAAAGAGGCCAGGGCAUCAGUUCAUCCGGGCCCAGAUUCCCUGCUCUGUAGAAGUCCCCGCACCUUCUGCGUCUCAGCACCCGCUGCCCCUUUCCCCUUUGCGCUUAACCCGUUCCUCCCCCAGGUAUCCUGCUCUGGAUUGGAGCACUUCCAGCAGCGGCUUUUCCAGCGGAGGCGGAUCCACACGGGGCCCAGCCUCCUGGUUAGCUAUUCAGAAUGAUUCUAGAAGGCGGGGGCUAGGGAGGGCUGGGAAGGGCCGCUUGACCUCCUAAGGAGCCUGAGGUGUUUGUGUCUCUCCAGUGCGGGUCACUGAUGGAGUGUGGCUUCAGGUUCACAGACCUAGCCACUGACCCCCAUCUGAUACCUCAGCUGACUCCAGCAAAACAGGGCUUGUCGUUUUUAUUACUGUUUUGGGGGCUGUCUUUUCCAGUCUAUGACCCGGAGCGAGGACUGCCUGGGCCUCCCGAAGUGCUGGCAUUAUAGUCUCUCUCCUUUGCGUGUGUGUGUGUGUGUAUUUAAGAGUCAGGGGGUCUCACUGUGUUGCCCAAGCAGGUCUUGAACCCCUACUGUCUAGUGAGGGCUCCAGAACACAAGUUCACUCUCAGAGUCUGUCGGGAGCCGCGGGGGGGAAUAGUGCUGGGCAUUUUGUCCCCAGUGCAGGAAUAAGGGUGCCAGCCAGUCCAGAGUGGGAUCCUGAGGCAGCUGAAGGGAUUUGCGUAACCUUUCAAGUCAUUGAGCUUGGCCAUCUCACCCUCCCACCUCUACUGGGCCGGGGGUGGGGCCCGUUUAAGGUGCCUUAAUUAAAGGGAUAAUUGAACUGUCCCUGGUACCGGGUACAUCUCUGUUGCUGGAACGUUCCCUGGGAAGAGUGCCUUCCUCUUGUCUAGGCGGGGCAGGCAGGCUGGAGGUGGGGGCUCCCUGGGCACCGGGACUUUCUCCACAGCAGCUUCUCAGGCAGUCCAGUUUUAGGCAGGCGUUUGUGGGGACCUUGCGGCUCUCUGAGUUCCCCACACCGGAGGCCCCUCAGGAUGCUCCUGUGUUUGCACGGGGCGCUUGCUGUGCUGUGUUCGCAGUGAGGGACUGCAUGCUUUGUAGGGGACUGAGAUCUGGGAUCUGAAGCUGUAGGGCUGGGGGCACCUCGCUCCAGUGUCCGGGGCCUCCAGGGCAGAGUUGGCUCUUGGUGGGCUCCUAGUGCUGAGGACUUGGAGGGUGGUGAGGCCUUGCCUUACCUGGAGUGCUCCCUGGGCUGGGCUGGAAGACCCCGGGCCAUGGGCUUUCUCUAGCCCUCACUCCAGGCCUCCCUGAGCCCCCCUCUGCAGAGGCCACAGCCGCAGGGGACCCCUGAAGGUCCCUCUGGCCCCUGACCUCUUAGCUUCUCUUACUACAGGAAGCUGACCCUUUCCAGCAUGGCGUCCACCGGAGUAGGAAGCCAGCUUCUCAGCAGGCCAGCCGGCUCUUCUCCGCCCAAGGAAAACCCAGUCAUACCCAUUUGUACAAAUCGCCUCUCUGCACUCUUCAAAUAAAACUGAUAAUUCUCAGCAAUCUGUUUCCCAUCUGGAGCCCUGAAAGAUUAGAAUCCUUGUUUGAAUGCUGAGCCACGGUUGAGAUAACAUCUUUGUGACUCUUAGACUUCACUCCAGAUGACUGUCUGUCAUAGAUGGAAGGGGUGAGUUUUUGAUCAGUGUAGGAUUUAAUGUCUUUCACUAAAAAGGACAAAAGUACAACCCCUGUUGGCUCCGAGUCUCCCAAGCAGCAGCCCUGUUUCUCACUCCUUCUCGAAAGUGCAGUGUGCACUCCCCCGCCAUCCCCGCCUCUGCCCCUUCUGCUCUCGCCCUGGUGGCUUCCUGUGGCUUUGUUUUCUUAUGAUAAGUUCUAAAGGGUAAAAUUUUGGGAUCAAAAGUUGUACGCAUUUUAAGGUUUUUGAUACAUAUUAACCAGGACUCCAGUUUUUAAGAAGUCAUUUUUGUUGACUUCGGGACUGUCCCAAUUAAUUCCCUAGGAGAUAUUGUUCAUCUUGAACGUGGCUGCUGUCCAUAAUCCCAAGAAAACGCUUGGUUCUGAACAGCUGACUUUUCCAGAUAAAUGAGGGGCUGCUCGCUGAACUAUAGACUGACUUUCCUCGUCACAGAAAAUGGGGGACCACGAGGUUAUGGGAUAACUCCUCUCUCGUAGAGGAGGGGAGAUGUUUCGUGGGUUUUCAGUCGAACCGAUGUGGUUGGCGGAAUUCAGAGCUGGCUCCUGCCGGCGCCACGCCCCGUAGAGUUGUCCAGCCACUUCCCUGCAUGAAGACAGGAGAGCACGAAGAGAAAGUGGCUUUUUGAUUGCCUUAUUUAUUUAUGUAAAUACAAGGACACAACAUUGAAAAUCAACAAACUACUUUCUAGAGCAGUUUUAGGUUCACAACAAAAUUGAGAGGAAGAUAACAGAUUUCCCGUGUGCCCCUGCCCCCACUCCCAGCCUCCCCCAGUGUCUGUGUCGCCGGCCAGAGUGGGACAUUGAUUACGGUGGAUGAGCCUGCAGUGGCACGUCUCUGUCACCCCAGUGCGGAGGUCACGUCAGGGUCUCCACUCUGGGUGCUGUAGCUCCAGUAGGUUGGCAAAUGCAUAGUGACAUGCGUCUGCCAUUAGAGUGCCAUACAGAGUAGUUCCACUGCCCUGACACCCUCCUCAGCCUCUCUUCUUCCCCAGGCCCUGGUCACCGCUGCUUCUUUUACUGUGUGCUUGAUUUUGCCUCUUCCAGAAAGUCGUCUAGUUGGAAUCACGCAGUUGGUAGCCGUUUCAGAGUAGCUUCUUUCACUUAGAAAUACUCAUUUAAAGUGCCCGCAUAUCUUUUCGUGCAUGGCGUCAGAGCUCAUUUCCGUUUAGCGGUGAAUGACAUUCCAUCAUCUGGAUGUUCCACGGUUUAUUCAGUCACCUACACAAGGACGUCUUGGUUGCUUCCAAGUUUUGGCAAUGACGAAUAAAGCGGCUCUCACAUCUGAGC